GAUGAACGCUGGCGGCGUGCCUAAUACAUGCAAGUCGAGCGAACGGACGAGAAGCUUGCUUCUCUGAUGUUAGCGGCGGACGGGUGAGUAACACGUGGAUAACCUACCUAUAAGACUGGGAUAACUUCGGGAAACCGGAGCUAAUACCGGAUAAUAUUUUGAACCGCAUGGUUCAAAAGUGAAAGACGGUCUUGCUGUCACUUAUAGAUGGAUCCGCGCUGCAUUAGCUAGUUGGUAAGGUAACGGCUUACCAAGGCAACGAUGCAUAACCGACCUGAGAGGGUGAUCGGCCACACUGGAACUGAGCCACGGUCCAGACUCCUACGGGAGGCAGCAGUAGGGAAUCUUCCGCAAUGGGCGAAAGCCUGACGGAGCAACGCCGCGUGAGUGAUGAAGGUCUUCGGAUCGUAAAACUCUGUUAUUAGGGAAGAACAUAUGUGUAAGUAACUGUGCACAUCUUGACGGUACCUAAUCAGAAAGCCACGGCUAACUACGUG
rnacentral:rRNA from 1 species